rnacentral:rRNA from 1 species
GACGAACGCUGGCGGCGUGCCUAAUACAUGCAAGUCGAACGAGAGCGACCGGUGCUUGCACUGGUCAAUCUAGUGGCGAACGGGUGAGUAACACGUGGGUAACCUGCUCAUCAGAGGGGGAUAACAUCCGGAAACGGAUGCUAAAACCGCAUAGGUCUUCGAGCCGCAUGGCUUGAAGAGGAAAAGAGGCGCAAGCUUCUGCUGAUGGAUGGACCCGCGGUGCAUUAGCUAGUUGGUGAGGUAACGGCUCACCAAGGCCGUGAUGCAUAGCCGACCUGAGAGGGUGAUCGGCCACAUUGGGACUGAGACACGGCCCAAACUCCUACGGGAGGCAGCAGUAGGGAAUCUUCCGCAAUGGACGCAAGUCUGACGGAGCAACGUCGCGUGAGUGAAGAAGGUUUUCGGAUCGUAAAACUCUGUUGUUAGAGAAGAACAAGUGCUAGAGUAACUGUUAGCGCCUUGACGGUAGCUAACCAGAAAGCCACGGCUAACUACGUG